UGACCUCGGAUUAGGUAGGGAUACCCGCUGACUAAGCAUAUCAAUAAGC
rnacentral:rRNA from 1 species